rnacentral:rRNA from 1 species
CGCGUAGGCGGCUUUACAAGUCAGAUGUGAAAGCCCAUGGCUCAACCAUGGACGUGCAUUUGAAACUGUAAGACUUGAGUAUUGGAGGGGGUGGUGGAAUUCCCGGUGUAGAGGUGAAAUUCGUAGAUAUCGGGAGGAAUACCAGUGGCGAAGGCGACCACCUGGCCAAAUACUGACGCUCAUGUGCGAAAGCGUGGGGAGCAAACA